UACAGGGGGUGCAAACGUUGCUCGGAAUCAUUGGGCGUAAAGCGCACGUAGGCGGUCUGUUAUGUCGGAUGUGAAAGCCCUUGGCUCAACUGAGGAAGUGCAUCCGAAACUGGCAGGCUAGAGUACUAAAGAGGAUCGCGGAAUUCCCGGUGUAGAGGUGAAAUUCGUAGAUAUCGGGAGGAACACCAGUGGCGAAGGCGGCGACCUGGGCCAAUAUUGACGCUGAUGUGCGGAAAGCGUGGGGAAGCAAACAGGG
rnacentral:rRNA from 1 species